UACGUAGGGACCAAGCGUUGUCCGGAAUCAUUGGGCGUAAAGAGCGUGUAGGCGGCCUGUUAAGUCUUGCGUGAAAUCUCGGGGCUCAACCCCGAGCGGUCGUGAGAAACUGGCAGGCUAGAGUGCGGGAGAGGAGAGUGGAAUUCCUGGUGUAGCGGUGAAAAUGCGCAGAUAUCAGGAAGAACACCAAUGGCGGAAGGCAGCUCUCUGGGACGGUACUGACGCUGAGACGCGAAAGCGUGGGGAGCGAACAGG
rnacentral:rRNA from 1 species